rnacentral:lncRNA from 1 species
GCGGUUCCGGUCCCGGUUCCGGUCCAGAACCGUUACAUGGUACAGCCUUAAGCUACCUGCAGCAUGAAUAAGACCCGAAUUCCAAGAUUACAAAAAAAAAAAUUGCAAUAAAUGAACUGAUAUUGUAGAGUUAGAAAUAGAAAAGGGCAUACCGGCAACAGGAGCAACAUUAUCGGAAGGGGUCAUAAUCGCCGCCGGCGCGGGCGGGGGUGUCCGGUCGAUGGGUUUCUUCAGUUGAGACGAUGCCACAUCGACGUUAGAACUUCCGAUCCUUCCAGUUGCUCGACGAAAUGCCUGACCCAUUUCCCCCCAAUUAAUCCCCUUUAUACUCCCAAUGUUAUGUAAACAAGACUAUACCUUGAACACAAAAAAACAAAAAAAUGAAAUUUCUUAUAUAAGUCUGGUUUUAUGGGUUUAAGUUCUUUAAUUUGUCAGUAAAUAACCGAUUACUGAAUCAAUUGAAUGGAGAGUGAAAUUGUUAGAUUGUUUUGGAGAAAGAGACAGAAAGGAAGGUGAGAGUAUUUAUAGUCGGGACAUUGGGAUUGCGUUGAAUACGACAUCCACGUAUAGGAUUUUACAAUGAGGCACGUCUCCAGUGUUUUGUGUCCCUAAGGUGCCUAUAGUUGAAAU